rnacentral:ncRNA from 1 species
GAUUAGUUUUAUUCUUGCUGUAUUGUUCAGUAUUUCCUUGUUUUAUAUGCAAGUUUUUGCGUGAUUAUUAUUGUUUUCUUGAUGAGAAUGGGUAGGUUUAAUGAUUAAUAAGUGUAUUUAUAAGUCGCAUUAUUUAUUAUUAUAUUAUGUUGGUUUUAAUGAUUUAGUAAUGGAUUGUAGUAGUGGUUAAGUUUGUGCCAGCAGCCGCGGUUAUACAUUAAGUAUUAUUGAACAUUUUCGGUUAUACAGUUUUAUGUCUAAUUUUUUUAGAUUUGAUUAUCAGGGUUUAUUAGGUGGAAUUAGUAAAUUUUCUUUAUCAUUUUUUGUUUAAUUGUUUGUAAGCUGUGAAAUCUUUACUUUAAACUAGGAUUAGAUACCCUAUUAUUUUUGAUGUUAAUUGGUUUACCUGGGUAGUAUUAGUUAUGUUCUUGAAAUCUAAAGAAUUUGGCGGUAUUCCAUUCCCUUCAGAGGAAUCUGCCCUUUAAUCGAUAAUCCACGUUGGACCUUACCUGAUUUUUUUGUUUGUAUACCGUCUUUUUAGUGUUUAAUUUUCUGGUUUCUGGGAUUUGGAUUUAUUUCAGGUCAAGGUGCAGCUUGUUUUUAGGUUUGAGGUGGAUUACAUUGUGUUGAUGAUUGGUUUGGAUUAAUAGUUGUUAUUUACUGUUGUGAAAUUGGAUUUGGUUGUAAUUUUCUGUAGAUUGUUAAGAUGAUAUUGGUUCUGGAAUAUGCACACAUCGCCCGUCACUCUCAUUUUUGUUGAGAUAAGUCGUAACAAAGUGGUCGUACCGGAAGGUGUGGCUGGAAUGAU